rnacentral:misc_RNA from 1 species
GAAAUGCGAUAAGUAAUGUGAAUUGCAGAAUUCAGUGAAUCAUCGAAUCUUUGAACGCACAUUGCGCCCGCCAGUAUUCUGGCGGGCAUGCCUGUUCGAGCGUCAUUUCAACCAUCAAGCCCCCGGCUUGUGUUGGGGACCUGCGGCUGCCCGCAGGCCCUGAAAAACAGUGGCGGGCUCGCUGUCACACCGAGCGUAGUAGCAUACAUUCUCGCUCAGGGCGUGCUGCGGGUUCCGGUCGUUAAACGACCUUCAUAACCCAAGGUUGACCUCGGAUCAGGUAGGAAGACCCGCUGAACUUAAGC